CAGCAGCCGCGGUAAUACAGAGGGUGCAAGCGUUAAUCGGAAUUACUGGGCGUAAAGCGCGCGUAGGUGGUUUGUUAAGUUGGAUGUGAAAUCCCCGGGCUCGACCUGGGAACUGCAUUCAAAACAGACUGACUAGAGUAUGGUAGAGGGUGGUGGAAUUUCCUGUGUAGCGGUGAAAUGCGUAGAUAUAGGAAGGAACACCAGUGGCGAAGGCGACCACCUGGACUAAUACUGACACUGAGGUGCGAAAGCGUGGGGAGCAAGCAGGAUUAGAUACCCGCGUAGUCCCUGUCUCUUAUAC
rnacentral:rRNA from 1 species